rnacentral:rRNA from 1 species
CGAGUGGCGAACGGGUGAGUAACGCGUAGGAACAUGCCUUAAAGUGGGGGACAACCUGGGGAAACUCAGGCUAAUACCGCAUAAUCUCUGAGGAGAGAAGCUGGGGACCUUUUGGCCUGGCGCUUUAAGAUUGGCCUGCGUACGAUUAGCUAGUUGGUAGGGUAAAGGCUUACCAAGGCGACGAUCGUUAGCUGGUCUGAGAGGAUGAUCAGCCACACUGGGACUGAGACACGGCCCAGACUCC